AUUGAACGCUGGCGGCAUGCCUUACACAUGCAAGUCGAACGGUAACAGGUCUUCGGAUGCUGACGAGUGGCGAACGGGUGAGUAAUACAUCGGAACGUGCCCGAUCGUGGGGGAUAACGAAGCGAAAGCUUUGCUAAUACCGCAUAAGAUCUACGGAUGAAAGCAGGGGACCGCAAGGCCUUGCGCGAACGGAGCGGCCGAUGGCAGAUUAGGUAGUUGGUGGGAUAAAAGCUUACCAAGCCGACGAUCUGCAGCUGGGCUGAGAGGACGACCAGCCACACGGGGACUGAGACACGGCCCAGACUCCGACGGGAGGCAGCAGUGGGGAAUUUUGGACAAUGGGCGAAAGCCUGAUCCAGCCAUGCCGCGUGCAGGAUGAAGGCCUUCGGGUUGUAAACUGCUUUUGUACGGAACGAAAAGACUCUUUCUAAUAAAGAGGGUCCAUGACGGUACCGUAAGAAUAAGCACCGGCUAACUACGUGCCAGCAGCCGCAGUAAUAC
rnacentral:rRNA from 1 species